GUAUUGCGCAGCGUUUGCUUUCGGGUUGGUUCGGUGGUCGCUCGCUUUCUACUUUCCAUUAUUGAGAUUCCUUCCUAGUGUGACCUUGAAACGCAUCGACAUGAAAGUGUAGAGUAGACUUUUAUAUAUGCUGCGAACAAACACAUUCUGGCUUGCGGUUGCUCCGCGAUCAUUUUCAGGUUCUUGAACCCUUGAGUGAAAAUGCCCAUACUGCAUCUUCGUGUAGUGUAGAACCGCAUCUUUGCACGGAGACUGUAAAGCUGAAAAAAACCUUUGUACUAAGAAAAUUGCAGGACACUAUCACACUUGGACACGUCAAAACUUUGCACGUCAGUAAGCGUAUAAACCACGUAUCUGACAGACCUGGCCAACAUGUCAGAUAAGGACACUAUCACACUUGGGCACGUCGUGACGGAUAGUCAGUACCAGUUCAGAGUCUAAUUGUUGCAAAAAGGGCUAACAGUAUAGACCACGUAUCUGACAGACCUGGCCCGCAUGUCAGGUAACAUGUGUCAUAUCUUUUUGCAGAAAGGCCCUUGCCACUAUAUUUAAUCAUGGGAAAUUCUAAUGAGCCACGCAGCACUAGGCCAUUCAUGUGCGACGGCUUGCGUCCAGGGCUGCAUGUAUGCACUUUUUUUAUGUAGUUACUAUCCAAUAUUUAAUGAAAUUUUAUUUAUAUAAAA